rnacentral:rRNA from 1 species
UACGGAGGGUGCAAGCGUUAUCCGGAUUCACUGGGUUUAAAGGGAGCGCAGGCGGAUUGGUAAGUCAGUGGUGAAAGGCUUAAGCUUAACUUGGGAACUGCCAUUGAUACUAUCAGUCUUGAAUGUUGUUGAGGUUUGCGGAAUGGGUCAUGUAGCGGUGAAAUGCAUAGAUAUGACAUAGAACACCUAUUGCGAAGGCAGCUAACUACGCGAAUAUUGACGCUGAGGCACGAAAGCGUGGGGAUCAAACAGG